GGAGUUUGGACCGUGUCUCAGUUCCAAUGUGGGGGACCUUCCUCUCAGAACCCCUAGAUAUCGUCGCCUUGGUGAGCCGUUACCUCACCAACCAGCUAAUAUCACGCGAACCAAUCCGUAUCCGACGAAUCUUUCAAUAUAAAGAGAUGCCUCUUCACAUGUUAUGGGAAAUUAGGCGGCGUUUCCACCGGUUAUGUCCCUGAUACGGGCAUGUUGCUCACGCGUUACGCACCCUUGCGCCGGUCGCCAGCCGGAGUGUAUUGCUACUCCCCGCUGCUGCCCCUCGACUUGCAUGUGUUAAGCCUGCCGCUAGCGUUCAUC
rnacentral:rRNA from 1 species